GUACAUACAUCAGAUGUGUCCCAUCAGUAGUUAGAAAUCAGUAGAAGGAUCAUGAGUUUGUACCUUGCAUGUCGCUCACGCAACUUGUCAGGAAAAAGCAUAAUUUACCAGAGAGCUGCUAAUACCCCGGAGCCAGGGAUUGAAGAAAUGACUAUAUGAAAGGAGCUCAUGGUCCUUAUUGAACUGGCCCUAUCCCAACAAUUAAUUCACCCUGGGAUCCUGCUUGGUGUCUGCCUGAAGACCACAGGAUGGCAGCAUGCAAGAGCAUCACUUGGGCGACAGCUGCCCUCCGCUUCUUUUGCUGGACCUUUGUGUGGUGUGGAGAGGAGAGGUGAAAACAUCCAGAGAGGCCUUUCAGUGGGUUUAUUCACAGCUAAGUCUAAAUCUCAGCAUUCACCAUCAGCUGCUGGGAAAGCCUGAUAACUCAUGAAGGCAAGGCUAAAUAAAAACCGCAUUACUGAGACUUCCA
rnacentral:lncRNA from 1 species